AUCUGCGCCGCUGCGACAGGUUCCCCGGAGACGGGGAUGAAAAUGGGAACGGGGUUCGAGACCCCGGCUGCCCCUGCAACUGUGAGCGGCGAGCCAUCGCACCACAUGCCAUUGGGAUCGAUACGGUCCUGAGAAGGCGGUGCGAACCGGCAUUGACCCGCAAGCCAGGAGACCUGCCCGUCGCGGUCGUCCUUC
rnacentral:ncRNA from 2 species